rnacentral:rRNA from 1 species
CCUACGGGAGGCUGCAGUGAGGAAUAUUGGUCAAUGGGCGGAAGCCUGAACCAGCGAAGUCGCGUGAGGGAAUAAGGCCCUACGGGUCGUAAACCUCUUUUGCCGGGGAGCAAGGGCGGGGACGUGUCCCGGCCCGGAGAGUACCCGGAGAAAAAGCAUCGGCUAACUCCGUGCCAGCCGCCGCGGUAAUACGGAGGAUGCGAGCGUUAUCCGGAUGUAUUGGGUUUAAAGGGUGCGUAGGCGGGCUUUUAAGUCAGCGGUAAAAAGUCGGGGCUCAACCCCGUCCGGCCGUUGAAACUGGGUGCCUUGAGUGGGCGAGAAGAAGGCGGAAUGCGUGGUGUAGCGGUGAAAUGCAUAGAUAUCACGCAGAACCUCGAUUGCGAAGGCAGCCUUCCGGCGCCCUACUGACGCUGAGGCACGAAAGUGCGGGGAUCGAACAGGAUUAGAUACCCGGGUAGUC